AUGAUCGGGAGGGACAUCAUUGUGGAACACUCGGGUUGGGCUGUGGGAAAUGGAACUAGUAUCAACAUUUGGGACAAGCCAUGGCUCAGUCUCUCUGCGCAGGAAAGACCAAUGGGACCAGCUCCGGAAGCGGUGGUAAAUUGCACGGUCGCGGACCUGUUUACUCAAGAUAAGAAGGCUUGGGAUGUAGAAAAGAUCAGACAGAUACUACCGCUCGAUGAGCAGCGUAUACUCUCGAUCAAGCCUAGUUUUGAAGGAGCCCCAUAUAAGCUAAUCUGGCUAAAUGAUGCCUCUGGGGAAUACACUACAAGAUCAAGAUACGCUGCGGCUCUCCUGCAGCAAAAAGACUUCCCUACAACCCUUCAAACUACACCGUCCUUCAACUGGCAAAAGAACAUAUGGAAACUUAAACUUACCCCAAAAGUUAAACUCUUCCUAUGGAAGUUGUUCCAUGGCGCUUUACCUGUAGGAACUCAACUUAGAGCAAGACAAAUCAAUGUGGAAGGAAUAUGUAAAACCUGUGGUUUACCUGAAUCUAUAAAUCAUCUGUUUCUCGAAUGUGGUUUUGCUCAACAGGUUUGGAGCCAAGCACCUGUCUCCCCGGGCAUCGAGAGUAGCGGAUCCAUAGACUUAAGGACAACCUGGGGCGGUCUGAUUUCAGGGAAGAAUCUUCCCCCAAUGGGUGUAACGUCGGGACCCCUGGCGCCAUGGAUCCUCUGGCAACUAUGGACAACGAGGAACAAGCUUGUGUUGGAAGAUAAACGAUGCUCCGCGGAGGAAGUUCUAACGAGGGCGAUAGCUACAGCUAAGGAGUGGACUCAAAGUCAGCAAAGCCUACCGGAUCAGCGUCUACGUUCUCCACCUCCCCUGCUUCUACAGGAUUCAGGAGCUAUUAUCAGAACAGAUGCGGCUUGGAAUGAGGAUCAACAGCUAGCGGGUUUGGGCUGGACGGUACAAGAGCCAAAUGGAACCUUCUCUUACGCGAUCCCAUCAACGUUCGUCCGAUCCACUCUCCUAGCAGAGGGACUUGCUAUGCGAGAAGCGAUAAUCAAAUGCAGAGAUCUCGGUCUCUCACGUGUGCGAUGCGAUUCGGACUCUGCCACCCUAAUCAAGGUCCUCAAUGAAGAAGUCUCAAAUGCAGAACUGUAUGGAGUGGCUGCAGACAUCAUCUCUCUAUCUUUUACUUUCAAAAAUAUUUCUUUUAAUUGGAUUCCCCGUGAUAGGAACCUUGUAGCUGAUAGAUUAGCAAAACAGGCUCUGUCUGAUGUGCUAGCCUUUAAUGUCCCAACAAACUUUGGUUGAGAAAUUUAAUGAAGUUUGGGUGUUUCAAAAAAAAAAAAGACAUGUAGCUAAAAUAUACCUCUGUUAGUUCUCUUCUGAAAUUUGAUCAAGGUUUCUAUGGAAGCACUGACUUUGCAUCUUUACAACACUUGAAGUUCCUAUAACCUACCAAAAACCAAUUUUCUCACUCAAUAUCUGAAACAUUAAAAUUAUAUAGAAAAAGUGUCAAAAUUCGUUACUGUUAUUGUACCACGUAUACGUCUGCUUUCUAUCUUUCUUCUCAUUUUCUGCCGUAUCUUACCGUGAUGUUUCUUUGCACUGGUAGAAUCUCCAUCAAAUUGGAUCCACCAUAUCUAUUGUUUCUCGAACCUUCUUCACCCGGUUCUGAUGAAGCAAAAAUUGGAUGACGGACUUUGAUAGUGUAGCUAAGGAAUUUGAGUUUUUUGAGAUCCGUUCACUCAGAAAAUGGAACUCAGUACUGGCCAUGACAUUCCGUAAGGCUCCAAUUUUGAAUUAGGGUAUUGGAAUUCAAGAAGAAAGAGUAUAAACCUAUCGUAUUCUAUUUUCGAUCCAUUGGAAGUUUGGAUGCUGUUCAUCUGCUAAUGCCGAAUGUGAAAGAUAUAGGAAUAAGAAAAUGAAAAGAUUCCAGAAGAAGAAGGAGAAUCAUGGUAGUGUAGUAGUGGGUUGUUUUGAUAAACAGUCGAUAAUUUUUAGAAAUAAUGACGUAGCACAAUAUAAUUGGUAAGGUGACUUGUACUUUAGUAUAUAAAGGAUUUGCAUGUUGGUCAGGGAUUUAGAUGGGCGAUAGACAAUGAUGCCUGGCAAGCAAGAGUCGACAGUUUAAAACCUGUAUUUGAAGGUCACAUUCUGAAUAAACUUAGAUAUGAAUUAAGGUUAUUAAGUAUAAGGAUUUCAAUUCUCAUAAUUUUAUUUUAUGGUUUCAGAAGCAAGGAUUGACAUGGGAAAGAACGAAAUCGACAAAGAAGUGGUCGAGAAGGUGUGGGACAGAAUAGCUCCUGGCAUAGCCUCUCAGUUUGAUGCGCCUUACUCGGUACCAGUGAUUGCACCACGCCCUCUUUACCUCCUUAACGGCGCUGAGGAUCCUCGCUGUCCUCUUGGUGGACUAGUUGUUCCAGUGAAGAGAGCUAAGAAGGCUUAUAAGAAAACUCCUGCAAACUUCAAGUUCGUAGCAGAAGAGGGAGUUGGACACACAGUGACGAGUUUCAUGAUCAAAGAAUCAUCAGAUUGGUUUGAAAAGUUCCUUAAA